AUAGCGUAUAUUAAAGUUGUUGCAGUUAAAAAGCUCGUAGUUGAACUUCAGACCUGGCCGGGCGGUCUGCCUCACGGUAUGUACUGUCUGGCUGGGUCUUACCUCUUGGUGAGCCGGCAUGUCCUUCACUGGGUGUGUCGGGGAACCAGGACUUUUACCUUGAGAAAAUUAGAGUGUUCAAAGCAGGCCUAUGCCCGAAUACAUUAGCAUGGAAUAAUAAAAUAGGACGUGCGGUUCUAUUUUGUUGGUUUCUAGAGUCGCCGUAAUGAUUAAUAGGGAUAGUUGGGGGCAUUCGUAUUCAGUUGCUAGAGGUGAAAUUCUUGGAUUUACUGAAGACGAACUACUG
rnacentral:rRNA from 1 species